AGCUGAUCUGAUCCUGAACUACACAAGACACAACAACUGAUCUAUUCAACACAGUUCAAUCUACAAACCAGGAACAUUCCCUUUAUUCAACAUGCUGGACCUGGAUUACUGGAUGGUUUAUCUCCAUCUACUGGUUGUUCUCACAGGUGUCGACUGUGAAGAUCUGAGUCCAGUCAAGAAUGAAGAGUCCAGUUUAGAAGGAAACUCUGUUACUCUCACAUAUAAAUACCCCAAAAUGACAUCAAAUGAUUAUUUCUUCUGGUAUCGACAAUAUCCAGGAAAACCACCAGAGCUCCUCAUCUCACACUCACCCUCAGGAUCAAAAGGAAUUGAAAAUGUUUCUGGACUGAAGAUUAAUGUGGAGAAAAACCUCAUCUCUAUGAGCAUCUCCUCUGCUGCAGUGUCAGACUCUGCUGUGUACUACUGUGCUCUGCAGCCCACAGUGACAGGAAUGCUGGUUCUCCUUCCCCUGCUCAUUCUCCUCAGCCUCACUGUGACCUUUUACACCGUCAACCACCACAUCCUCCUCAACCGCCUCCACACUGAUACUGGUCUCUGUCACACCACUAUGGACUGGUUCACCUCCUGUCUCUGGGGUCUGUCCGGGUCCCACUCCUCUUCAUCCUAUACAUGCUGCAACUCAGCCAUGUCAUCAGCUGUCAUGGCGUCGGUUUUCACUGUUACGCUGAUGACACACAACUGA